rnacentral:rRNA from 1 species
GUCUAUUUGAAAAUUUUUUAUAGUCUGGCCUGCCCACUGAGUUUUUAAAGGGCCGCGGUAUUUGGACCGUGCUAAGGUAGCAUAAUCAAUAGUCUUUUAAUUGGAGUCUAGAAUGAAAGGUCGGAUGGAGUGCAGUUUGUCUGCGAGUAUAAAAAUUGAAUUUUACUUUUAAGUGAAAAGGCUUAAAUUAGUUAGUGGGACGAUAAGACCCUGUGAAGCUUUAUGCUUGUUUAAUUUUAAUUUUUGAUAAUUGUGUGUUUAAAUUUAAAGUAAAUAGGUAUUGUGUUGGGGCGACCAGAAUAUAUUUUUAACUGUUCUUGUUUGGUAAAUAAAUGAUUUUUAGAAAGCUGAUCCUUUAUUAAGGAUUACAAGAUUUAAGUUACUCCAGGGAUAACAGCGUAAUUCUUUUUGAGAGUUCUUAUCGACAAAAGUAUUUGCGACCUCGAUGUUGAAUUAAGAUUUCAUUAAGAUGCAGGUGUCUUAAUUGUGGGUCUGUUCGACCUUUAAAAUCUUACAUGAUUUGAGUUCAGACCGGCGUG